rnacentral:lncRNA from 1 species
AUUUGGUCACCAAUUUUGACUAGUUUUAUUAUUAACAAAUCAAAAAGAAAAAGCUAUCAUUUUUCUCUUCUCCUUCACCGAAAUAUGUAGCAAAGAAAGGGUUUUGAAGCUGGAAAAUUUCAGCAACAUAUUUCCCUUUCUUGUAAGUGAUUUUAAUGUCUUUGCUUGAUGAUUUCUAUAUUUUUGGAACCCCUAAAGCAUGAGCUUUCAUAAGAGGGGACUAUUUUGCAAAAUUAUGAAGAGUCUAGGGUUUUGCCAUGAGAGUAAAUGUGUUGUUUGCUGUGUUUUUAUGGAAGAUUAUGAGUCCUAGUUGUCUAAUAAACAACUUUUGUGAAAGAAAUUGCAUGAAAACACCUUAAAAAAUGGCUAGAUUGCUAAGUUGUAAAAUGAGUUGUAAUGUGUAAAAUAGUUGAAAUUAUGAGUUUCUAUAGUUAUGAAAAUGGUUCAUCUAGACUCAAGGAGUAAAGAAAUGUGAUAAAAAUUAUUUUACGAGCAUUGGGGCAAAAGUGAAAAUAUGCAAAAGUUUAGGGGUCAAAAUGAAAAUUUGUAAAAAUAUGAUUUUUAGACCCAUAUGAAUAUUUUGACUGAUUGGUAGGCUAAAUGUGAUAUUAUAAAUCAAGGAAAUCGAGAUUUGGACCUAGAACGGAAAGAAAUCGAUUAAGGGAUGAUUAUGUCCUUUUCACCUUUGUGGUAUCGAGGUAAGUUUGUAUGUAAACAAUACCAUGCUAUACAUGUAUUUAAAUGUUAUCAUUACAUGAAUUGUACAGAUAUUAAGUGUAUGUGAUUAAUAGAAAUAUGAUAAGACAAAGCCUUAAUAGACGAGGAAAAAUCUCGUUUGAACCUUAGGAAUAGAAUAGGAUACGAGUGACAUGUCACUAGGAAUUAUGAGUCUAGAUGACUAGCUCGAGAGUGAGCAUUGAAAUGUCAUGAGAUAUGAGGUAGCUUUAGCUACAAUUGAGGCACUUAUGUGCAAAGGCUUUUCCGAGUAUCCAAUUAGUAUUCCAAGUGUUCAACGGGUAAUCCAAGGAAAGAGUUGAUGAUGGUCCCAAUGAGGUAAGUCAUUGGUGAGUAUACACUUGAGUUAUGUUACGAGUUGUGCAAGUAUGUAUAUUAAGCCUAUGAAAAUGCCUUGAUAUGUGAUGAUCUAUGAUGCAUAAUAUGUGUUCUUACCAUGAUGGAUGAAAUGAUGUUGUAUUAAUUUUGUGAACAAUGAUCAUAAAUGAGUAACUUAGCCUUGACAGAUUUGAGUUACUGCAGUAGUGUAACUUUGAAAAUACACUAAAAAUAGUGGAAAAUUAGUUAGAGGCAGAAUAAAAUAUGAGAUUAAAGCUUAAUGAGUCUAUUUUCACAUGAAAGAAACAGGGGAAGAAAAAGAAUUCUAUAUUGUGUGAUAUUUGAAUUCUUGUAAAACAAGGUCUGAAUGAAUUCGAGAUCCCCUAUUCUAACUUUAAAAAUUCAUCAUAAAUUGUAAUAAAAUUAUUAAGAGUCAUACCUUACAUGCAUGGAUUCUUUACUGAGUCUAUUUUUAAGGGAAACAAACGGCAUGGUCAUUGGAAUUCUGUACAGGGAGAAAUUCGAUUCGUAGUGCACAAGGGUCAGAGUGGUCAUACCCUGAAACAAGGGAGAUUUUAACUAAUAAACUGUACUAAAUGGCUUGACCAAAAAUUCUAGAAAAAAAUUAGUAAGUAUAAAUAUGAGUAUAGUUUCAAGAUAAAUAGACAAGAACAUUAUUCGAAUCCUGUACUAUGAGAUAAUUGAACUUUAGUGCAAAAGGGUUGAAACUGUCAGAUAGUGAAUCAGGAGCAAACUUGAGGAAUAAACUGUACUAAUUGGCUAAGUCAAAAAUUCUGGAAAUUUUAUGAAAGAAAGAUAAAUGAGUCUAGUUUCAGGGAAAAUUAACGGAACUUAAUUUGGAGUUUCGUAACUCCAGAUAUAAAUAAUUUAGUGACUAUUGCUCAGGAAGACAGCUUGCAGUGAACUUGAGAAUAUGUUGUAAACAUUGAUAAAACAAGUUAAUGAGUUGCUUAUUGUUUUCAUAUGAAUUUACUAAGCGAAAGCUUACCCCCCCUUCUUUCCCAUGUUUUCUAGAGUUUCCAGGUUAGCUCGGGUUGGAGGCCGUCAGAGAUAUUAUCAUACUGUCGAGUUAACGCUAUCGACGUAAGUAAACUCAAGUGAUUCUAGUCUAUGGCAUGUAUAGGGUUUUAAUGUGAGUAUGUAAUAUUAUGAUUUAGCCAAAGGCAUUGGCUUGUUAUUAAGGUAGUAUUAGUCAUUUAAAUUGGCCUAUGUCGGCUAAUAUCGUUAUGGGCCCAUAUGAUUAUUCUUAUGCAUGUAUGUUAUUAUCUCUUGUGAUGUGGCUUACAACAUGUAUGCCUAGAGAUUGAAUUGAGAUUCAUUGAUGAGCUAAUAACUAAUGCAGGAUUAAGUGAUUGGUAAAUAGUUAAUAAUGCUUCAUGAAUGGUUUGUGGAUAUGAUUAUGCAUGCUUUGUGAUGGACAUGAGGUUUGAUGACAUGUUGAUAGCUAUAGCAUUAAUAUGGUAAAGAUGAAAGAAAAACUUAUUGUAAUGGUUGCAUGUGAAAUUGCCAUGGUCAUGUCAUGUUAGGAAGGUUUAAGUGCCUAAUUUUGCCAUGUUGUAUGCUAUUGUAUAAGUAUGCGUGCAUGUGUUGUGAGUGUGACAAAAUGGCUUGGAAAAUAGUCUUGUAUUUGUCCAGGUUUUGGACAUGGGUUCGGGACACGGGCGUGUUCAUAGCACCCGGGCAUGUGUUCUAUACCUACACGGGCGUGUGGAGCCUUGAUACAAGAGAUUUCCUAAGUUUUUCAUGAGUUCUCGGUUGGGUCCCGAACCACCCCGAAUGCAUGUAUUGGGCCUCGCAAGCUCGCAUAAAGGACAGAUUGCAUGAGAAAAGAAAAGUUUUUAAUUAUUUGAGAUUUCAUGGCCCUGUUUAGUAUGGAAGUGUUAGUAAAAGUCAGGUAGCACCUCGAACCCCGUCCAGGUGUCGGAUGCGGGCGAGGGGUGUUACACUAUAUAAUUUUGUAGGUCAAAAUGUAUAGGAAAUUAUCUCUCAUUAGUAAAAAUUUUAAAUUAUUUAAACGAGAUCAAUAAAAUAUAUGUCUUAAAAUUAAAAUACUAUUAUCAUUGUACAAAAAUAACUCUUAAAACUUAAGCCAUGUACCAGCAUGUUUAGAAAACUAUAUGGUAACUAGAUUUGAGUGUAAUUAUUUAAUUACUCUUGUAAUUACUUUAAUUUCU